UACGGAGGGGGCUAGCGUUGUUCGGAAUUACUGGGCGUAAAGCGCACGUAGGCGGUUUGUCGCGUCUGCUGUGAAAUCCCGAGGCUCAACCUCGGGUCUGCAGUGGGUACGGGCAGACUAGAGUGUGGUAGGGGAGAUUGGAAUUCCUGGUGUAGCGGUGGAAUGCGCAGAUAUCAGGAGGAACACCGAUGGCGAAGGCAGAUCUCUGGGCCAUUACUGACGCUGAGGAGCGAAAGCAUGGGGAGCGAACAGG
rnacentral:rRNA from 1 species